rnacentral:rRNA from 1 species
GACGAACGCUGGCGGCGUGCUUAACACAUGCAAGUCGUACGGUAAGGCCCUUUCGGGGGUACCCGAGUGGCGCACGGGUGAGUAACACGUAUGUAACCUUCCCACAACUUUGGGAUAACGCUAGGAAACUGGUGCUAAUUCUGGCUAUGUGCCCCUGCUUCAUGGUGGGGGUUGGAAAGCUCCGGCGGUUGUGGAUGGACUGGCGGCGUAUUAGCUUGUUGGUGGGGUAGUGGCCUACCAAGGCGGCGACGGGUAGCCGGCCUGAGAGGGUGACCGGCCACAUUGAGACUGAGGGACGGCCCAGAUGCCGACGGGAGGAAGAAGGGGGGAAUACUGAACAAGGGACGCAGGGCGGAUGCAGAAGGGCCGCGGGUGGGAAGCCGGUCUUGUGGUGGAAGAACGCCUUCAGCAGAAACGAAGCGGGUUGUGACGGUACCUGAAGAAGAAGCACCGGCUAACUACGUG